rnacentral:rRNA from 1 species
UACGAAGGGAGCUAGCGUUGUUCGGAAUCACUGGGCGUAAAGCGCACGUAGGCGGAUUUGUCAGUCAGGGGUGAAAUCCUGGAGCUCAACUCCAGAACUGCCUUUGAUACUGAAGAUCUUGAGUUCGGGGAGAGGUGAGUGGAACUGCGAGUGUAGAAGGUUGAAAUUCGUAGAUAUUCGCAAGAACACCAGUGGCGAAGGCGGCUCACUGGCCCGAUACUGACGCUGAGGCACG